UGUUAAAAUAUUCAUCCAUCUGUAUUGUAAAAACUAACGUGACUGAUUAAAUAAUUAGAUAAUGAUACGUGACGUGCACUUGUAUUUUAUGUUGAUAUAUAAUAACUAGUUUUUAAUAUCAGAAAUUAAUGAAUUUUUUAAUA
rnacentral:pre_miRNA from 1 species